CAGUUGAAUUUGAGGUUUGGAUGAGACCAAAUCUUACUGGAGACUGAGACAAGAUUUGGUUUCCUCCAAUAUCUCAUGUUCAGUUG
rnacentral:pre_miRNA from 1 species